rnacentral:lncRNA from 1 species
GGGCUCAAUUUUAAUGAAUUGGAACUUGAAUUCAUGCCCCCAUACUUGUCAUUUUUUUUGCGAGAAAUACUUGUCAUUAGUGUAGUACACACUUUACACAUCAAAGUUUACUAAGGCAUAAACCCAUGUAUUUUAGUGAAUUUCCAAAAUACAAGGUCACAAAGUACCUUAAAUGAAAUUUUUAGUUAUAGCACAACACACCACACAUGCAUU